GACCUGCCUGUGGCGUGGCUUCUUCCAGACCAGAGCAGCAGAUGGGCUCUGGCCUCCCUGCCCUCUGAUGUGCAUUCUGGUUGCUGAAACAUACUCAUUCGAGGCAGAGGGGCACACUGUUCCUACCAUGGCUAUGGAAAAAGAGUUUUAGACUUCAAAUGUGAUAAAUGCGUGGACUGGCUCAAUCAUUAAUUUUCCUUAAAUGACA
rnacentral:lncRNA from 1 species